rnacentral:tRNA from 1 species
GGGCCGUUAGCUCAGUCGGUAGAGCAUCUGACUUUUAAUCAGGUGGUCGUGCGUUCGAAUCGCACACGGCCCACCA